rnacentral:rRNA from 1 species
AUCAGCCUUUUCGGGUGCGAUUCUGUGGGGUUUGAUGAGCUUAACACCUUCAUGCUCUGCAUAUUCGUGCUCUUGGGUGUACUUGCCCGUGUGGUUGGUUAACAUCAAUUUUGGUGGUCAUAAAAUGACUGGAGGAAUGUAGCUUCGAUCUCGUAUUGAAGUAUUAUAGCCUUCGGUAGAUGUGAUGAUCAAGAUUGAGGAUUGCAACGGAUACCCUUCGGGGCUACCUGUCUGGUCUCUGAUCGUUGCUCUGGUGCCGAAAGCUUGCUUACGGUUAUCAAAGUCGAUGGUCAAUAGGUUAGAACGGGUUAAAUUCGUUAAGGAUGCUGGCGUAAUGGCUUU